CCGGCCCGGGAAACCCCCCUUGCUACGGCCUCCGAAGGGAAGGAGGAAGCCCCCCCCCUAGGGCUGGGCCUCGACGGAGCUGCGGGGCUGCGCGCCCGCGAGGUGCUCUCAUGGUUCCACAAGGCCUGGCUGUUCCUGCUUUAGCGGGACGGAAGCGAACUGCGCCGUCAUUAACCGAACGAGUCAUCUAAAUGGGAAACUAAGGCUCCGUCACAGGCUCCAUACCAAGCAAGAGAGUUCAGAUUCCUAACGUGUAUGAAGCAGAACAACCCGCGUGAUCGAAGGCUGGUGCAUCUCAAGAACUGCUAUCUACGGAAGGGAGAGAAAGGGCCCAGCUUCUUUGGGCUGGCACAGGCUGGAGACCAGAAGUGGCACUUCACAUGCUGAGCUGUUUCCAAGUGUGCACCCAAAAAGCUGCGGAAAGGGCGGGAGGCUAUGGAGCCCCGCCUUUGCCCACAAGCCUCUGGCCUCUACGACAGGCUGGCCUCUACCAGCGGCUGAGUCCGUGAAGGCUGCUAAUGGAGGCCCUGCCUGUCAGAACAGAUCCAUCUGUAAAGAAAUUACCAGCAAGGGGUCACAACUAAGUGACUGCAUUUCUCCUAAGCUCUCCUCUGAGAGUGUUGUAUGAAAAACUGGUUUAAAAAACACCCUAUAAUAUUAUAUAAAUGAAAAAAUAAAUCCUUACCCUCUGGGCUCUGAAUGUGUGAAAC
rnacentral:lncRNA from 1 species